CUGGCGGCGUGCCUAACACAUGCAAGUCGAACGAAGCACUGUGGAAAGAGACUCGGUCAAUUGAAACUUUGACUUAGUGGCGGACGGGUGAGUAAUGCAUGAGCAACCUGCCCUGGAGAGGGGGACGAACAGCUGGAAACGGCUGCUAAUACCGCAUGAUGUCACCGGGAGGCAUCUUUUGGUGACCAAAGAUUUAUCGCUCUGGGAUGGGCUCAUGUCUGAUUAGAUAGUUGGCGGGGCAACGGCCCACCAAGUCUGCGAUCAGUAGCCGGACUGAGAGGUUGAACGGCCACAUUGGGACUGAGAUACGGCCCAGACUCCUACGGGAGGCAGCAGUGGGGAAUAUUGGGCAAUGGGCGCAAGCCUGAACCCCAGCAACGCCGCGUGAAGGAAGAAGGCUUUCGGGUUGUAAACUUCUUUUAUCAGGGACGAAGAACGUGACGGUACCUGAUGAAUAAGCCACGGCUAACUACGUGCCAGCAGCUGC
rnacentral:rRNA from 1 species